UGGGGCGAACGUUAUGAAAAUUAGAAAGGUUUUGUGGAAUUUGAGAGUGGUUUGGUGGAAUCUGAGAAGGAUUUUGCAGAUUUGGAAAUGAAUUUGGUGUAUUCGGGGGAUAUAUUUGAUGGAUUUUACGGGUUUGGGAGUGAAUCUUGUGGAUUUGGGAAUGAAUUUUCUUGAUUUGAAAAUGUGUUCUGGGGAUUUGGGAAUGGAUUCAGAGAUAGGUUUUGUGGGG
rnacentral:lncRNA from 1 species